CAGAGGAGCAGAUGCCAUGCUUUCCCACCGGCAAGGGGGGAGGGGUUGAGCAGUCCAAGUCGGGCCAGAGAAGACAGGGAAACUUCCCCGAAACAAAGAGAGUUUAGGCAACUGCUUGGGAAUAUUCCUUAUGGUCUCUGUCUCGAGUCAGACUAACCCCAGUUGGCUCCAGUUAUAGCCAUUAACAUGGGAAAUGAGUGAGGGAGAAGCCCCCACAUCUAUUAGGAGAAACAGAGAGAAAUAAAGUCAGAAACUAUCCAGUGACUUAAAAUGCACAGAAAAUCACA